UUCAAUUUUUAACUUUUCGUCUUAUUAAAAAAAUUUGUGAUUGAUAUUUUUGUUUUUAUUAGAUGAUAAAUCAUGAAUAGUACUUUACGUGUGACUAAUUUUUUCUAAUUUUCUGAAAUUUUUUUAAAUAAAACGGAUGGUCAAACGUUAGACACGGAAUCC
rnacentral:pre_miRNA from 1 species